CAGCCUCACCCCCACCCGCAACCCGGCACAUCCGCCGGGGGACCAUAAGAAAAUUUGUAGGAGCAACCACUAAUUUUUCGCAAAACUUUUAGUGUAUUGCCACAGAAAAUGAGUUCCAGACCUGGGAUCGGGCUCGUCUUGUUUGCUCCUACUUCUUCUUGCUAUUUUCUUACUACUGGAUUCUUGAGUGGUUCAGUCUUGCAGCCGUCAAAGCAGCUCAAAAUUUAUAUUUUCAACAAUCUGACAACUGACGUGCAAACUUUAUCAUUUGAGCAAUUGUUCGUUGUCAACACUGCACACAAAUGUACGUGCGUAUGUAUGUAUGUCGGCUGUGCAUAAAUACAUACAUACAUAUGCAUGUCGAUUGAGGGCAGGGGGAGGGCAUGGACCCGCACAAGUGCAGCACCGACGGACGGACCUAGAAUCGCGUUGCAGGACGACGUUUUGCAGUUUCUUUUUGCCAAUAUUUUCUCGUCCAAUAUACACACACAGGAGCAGCUAUACAUAUAUACUCUCACACACACACACGCACACAGAUGUAGUCACCAAAUCGUUUUGCUUUUGCACAACUCACCAUUUUGUGCAUCCGCCCUAAAAACACUGUGCGUUUCUUUUAAUAUACGCAUUAAUUCACUCUGUCGCACUUAUAUGCCACGGUAUAUGCACUCACACUUGUUAUGGGCUUGGCUGUUAAAGUUUCAUAGUUGAAGCACAAAUUAUUAAAAACUAAUUAUGUA